UACGUAGGGCGCAAGCGUUAUCCGGAAUUAUUGGGCGUAAAGAGCUCGUAGGCGGUUUGUCGCGUCUGCCGUGAAAGUCCGGGGCUCAACUCCGGAUCUGCGGUGGGUACGGGCAGACUAGAGUGAUGUAGGGGAGACUGGAAUUCCUGGUGUAGCGGUGAAAUGCGCAGAUAUCAGGAGGAACACCGAUGGCGAAGGCGGCGAUCUGGGUAGAUACUGACGCUGAGGUGCGAAAGCGUGGGGAGCAAACAGG
rnacentral:rRNA from 1 species